rnacentral:rRNA from 1 species
AGUGAACGCUGGCGGUAGGCCUAACACAUGCAAGUCGAACGGCAGCACAGUAAGAGCUAGCUCUUACGGGUGGCGAGUGGCGGACGGGUGAGGUAUACAUCGGAAUCUACUUUUUCGUGGGGUAUAACGUAGGGAAACUUACGCUAAUACCGCAUACCACCUACGGGUGAAAGCAGGGGAUCUUCGCACCUUGCGGGAUUGAAUGAGCCGAUGUCGGAUUAGCUAGUUGGGGGGGUAAAGGCCCACCAAGGCGACUAUCCGUAGCUGGUCUGAGAGGAUGAUCAGCCACACUGGAACUGAGACAGGGUCCAGACUCCUACGGGAGGCAGCAGUGGGAAAUAUUGGACAAUGGGCGAAAGCCUGAUCCAGCCAUACCGCGUGGGUGAAGAAGGCCUUCGGGUUGUAAAGCCCUUUUGUUGGGAAAGAAAAGCAGCAGGUUAAUACCCCGCUGUUCUGACGGUACCCAAAGAAUAAGCACCGGCUAACUUCGUG